CAACGUGUCGUCCGCGUAACAAAUAACGC
rnacentral:piRNA from 1 species